AACUAACGCUGGCGGCGUGCCUAACACAUGCAAGUCGUACGAGAAAGCCGGCUUCGGCUGGUGAGUAAAGUGGCGCACGGGUGAGUAACGCGUGGAUAAUCUGCCCUUAAGUGUGGAAUAACGUACCGAAAGGUGCGCUAAUACCGCAUAAUGCCUGGCAACACAAGUUGUCCGGCCAAAGAAGGCCUCUGUUUACAAGCUUUCGCUUCAGGAUGAGUCCGCGUACCAUUAGCUUGUUGGUGGGGUAAUGGCCUACCAAGGCUGCGAUGGUUAGCUGGUCUGAGAGGAUGAUCAGCCACACUGGAACUGAGACACGGUCCAGACUCCUAUGGGAGGCAGCAGUGAGGAAUAUUGCGCAAUGGGGGCAACCCUGACGCAGCAACGCCGCGUGAGUGAGGAAGGUUUUCGGACUGUAAAGCUCUGUCGAGCGGGAAGAAGUGUACCAUGGCUAAUAUCCAUGAUAUUUGACGGUACCGCUAGA
rnacentral:rRNA from 1 species